CAGACUCCUAGACAUUUCAACGGUAUAUGGACCGACAUGGCAACCAAAAAGACCGUUAUAAUAGCCUCAAGGGGAUCCGGUGGCGAUGUAUAGGCAUAACAAAUCAAAAGUCUGCGCUUGUUAGAUGGACCCUUACUAGACAUUUCCUAAAAUCCCUUAGUCGUGUAAUGCUGGAAAGAUGCAAAUUCACACGAGGAAACAAAACCAACAGCAAUGAAAGGAGAUGAAGAUAGAUAUAGGACGAUGUGGUAUGAGUGCCAAUGAGGCAACUCUCUAUCCAAG
rnacentral:lncRNA from 1 species